rnacentral:rRNA from 1 species
UAGGGAAUCUUCGGCAAUGGACGAAAGUCUGACCGAGCAACGCCGCGUGAGUGAAGAAGGUUUUCGGAUCGUAAAACUCUGUUGUUAGAGAAGAACAAGGACGUUAGUAACUGAACGUCCCCUGACGGUAUCUAACCAGAAAGCCACGGCUAACUACGUGCCAGCAGCCGCGGUAAUACGUAGGUGGCAAGCGUUGUCCGGAUUUAUUGGGCGUAAAGCGAGCGCAGGCGGUUUCUUAAGUCUGAUGUGAAAGCCCCCGGCUCAACCGGGGAGGGUCAUUGGAAACUGGGAGACUUGAGUGCAGAAGAGGAGAGUGGAAGUCCAUGUGUAGCGGUGAAAUGCGUAGAUAUAUGGAGGAACACCAGUGGCGAAGGCGGCGCUCUGGUCUGUAACGGACGCUGAGGCUAGAAAGCGUGGGGAGCAAACAGG